rnacentral:rRNA from 1 species
GAUCCUGGCUCAGGAUGAACGCUGGCGGCGUGCUUAACACAUGCAAGUCGAACGAAGCAAUCUAACGGAAGUUUUCGGAUGGAAGCUAGAUUGACUGAGUGGCGGACGGGUGAGUAACGCGUGGGUAACCUGCCUCACACUGGGGGACAACAGUUAGAAAUGACUGCUAAUACCGCAUAAGCGCACGGGACCGCAUGGUCCAGUGUGAAAAACUCCGGUGGUGUGAGAUGGACCCGCGUUUG